UACGGGGGGGGCAAGCGUUGUUCGGAAUUACUGGGCGUAAAGGGCGCGUAGGCGGCCUACUAAGUCGGACGUGAAAUCCCUCGGCUCAACCGAGGAACUGCGUCCGAUACUGGCGAGGCUUGAAUUUGGGAGAGGGAUGUGGAAUUCCAGGUGUAGCGGUGAAAUGCGUAGAUAUCUGGAGGAACACCGGUGGCGAAGGCGGCAUCCUGGACCGAGAUUGACGCUGAGGCGCGAAAGCUAGGGUAGCAAACGGG
rnacentral:rRNA from 1 species